CAGUGAGACAAUGCAAGGUGAAACGUAAAAUGAUUAGCAUCGGAGAAGGUCAAUGUUCAGCGACCGUUGAGGUGAAAGCAUGUGAAGGAUAUUGUAACUCAUUUGCCAUAUAUGAUCACAAAACAAAUGGCAUGAAACAAACAUGUGAGUGCUGCCAGGAGGAAAAUACUGAGGAAAAACAAAUAACUCUGCAAUGCUCCUUUGGAGGAUCUCAACCAUACACCUACAUUUCUGCCAAAUCAUGCAAAUGCAAAAUCUGUGAAGGUGAAAACGCUUAACGUUGUGAUCUCAAAGCCUUACAACUGGAUAUAAUUUGUGCAACAAACGUAGAUGUUAAAAUCUGAAACAUUAUUCUUCAUAAUUUCUAUUUGCUUGGUUUUACUUGGUAAUGAGAUAAUGUUGUGAAUUUGAUUUCCUCCCAAUUGCUCCCUUUAAAAUGUGGAAUUGUAUUCUUUUGUAUGUUGGAAACCUUUCACUUUAUUGUUUGACAGCAAAUUUAAAUCAAUAAAACAUUUUCUGCAUGAA